GGAUUACAGGCGUGAGCCACUGCACCCGGCCCUGGAUCUUGAGAUGACGUCAUACUGGAUGAUCCUAGUGCACCCUAAAUCCAAUAAGUGUUCUUAUGAAAGACAGAAGAGGAGAAGAUACAGGAAAUAGAAGAAGGCUACUUGAGGAUGGAAGCAGAGAUUGGAGUUAUGCAGCUACAAACCAAAGAAUGCCUUGAGCCACCAGCAGCUGAAAGAGCUAGUCAGCAAUACAACUGGGAUUUGAUAUCAGAUUCAUACGAUUCCGAAGACCCUGACCACCAAAUGCAAAAGGUACAUGGCAACAGCUGAUUGCAAUGAGAGAAAAACAACUAAUAAGGCAACAAGCAGGAUACUAAGAUAUUUUCCAAAAUGAAUAGCACUGAUUCUGUGAGGAAUGAACAUUGCCAAACAAGUGUUUUGUUUUGUUUUUCAACUCCUCUAAAAAAAUUCACAUAUAUGCAUGCCACUUUCCUGAAAAAUAUCUGCCUCAUAAUUGCCAUAAGAAACGGUAUGGACAACUCUUAAACAUUCUGAAAGUAGUCAGGGAUGGGGGAAAGCAUUUGCUGUUUUAGUCUGUUCCUGGUCUUAUAACAAAUACCACAAACUGGGUAAUUUAUGAUUACAGAAAUGUAUUUCUGAAAGUUCAGGAGUUGGGAAGUUCAAGAUUAUGGCACCAACAUAUUCAUUGUCUGAUGAGGGCCUGUUUCACAGAUGUCAUUUUGCAUGACUUAAUCACAUGGUAGGAAAAGCAAAGGGACAAAAUGGACAAAUGCCAUGUUGUCACAUGGCAGAAGAAAUGGAAGAGCCAGGAAGCUCUCAGAAGCUUCCUUAAUUAGGAUAUUAAUCUCAUUCAUGAGUGCAUAGCCAUCAUGACUUAAUUGCCUCCAAAGGCCCCACUUCCUCAUCACUUUGAGGAUUAAACUUAAACAUGAAUUUGGAGGAAAUAUAUCCAAACUCUAGGACUAGUUUAAAUGUAGCUAAAAAGGUUUCUUCAUUCUGUAAUCGUUAAUAUGCUAAUAUUUUUGUAAAUAUCCAAGAGGAAGCUAAAGCAUAUAAUAUUCCAAAAUUUAUUUCUGUUUGUGGAUAUUAUGUUUUCCUCUCAUUCUAUCUUAAGAAAUUAGUGUCCUCAAGAAACACUAUAUAGGAUAAUUGUCUUUCAAGUUCAUCAACUACCAGUUCUUGAUUCUUCAGUAGCUAAUCCUAGAUAGUAAUACUUAACAGAUUAUAAAAACUUGGGUGCUGCUAUAUAAAUGCGCUGAAACUCCCAGGGAACCAAACAUAAGGACUUAAAGAGAGAUGUAACUAGGGAUCAUAAUCAUGAAUUUCAGCUGCUUCUCUAUCUUUGUCAGUGAGCAAAUGACCAUACAAAAUAAGGUAUUCAAUUAUUAAUUCUGUGCCCAUAUCCCGGAAUUUUGCCCAAUAUAUUUGUAAGUUUAGAUAAAUAAGGCACUAAUGCCAGGGAUAUGUAGCAUUAGUUCUGGGUUUAUAAAGGGAUAUUCACAACCUCUUGCCAUCCACAGAAUUUAUCAGCCCAAAGUAAACUAUACUCGUUGGUUAAGGGCAACCUGAGACAUGUUUAAAACUGAGGUGGACUGAAGAGUCAACUAAUUGCAGGAAUCUUUUAUUUGGUUGAAAUGUUCAAACAAGUCCCACUCUGAAUUCUAUUAGAAGUCCAUCAUUGGCUUCUCUCUCUUUCUCACUGUCUUAAAUCAUGUAUUUUAUAACACUAUGAAGAAUGAAGUUCAAAAGAAUAAGCUAAAUUUAAUUAAUUAAAUUAUUUAUUUAUUUAUUUUGAGACAGAGUCUCACUCUGUCACCCAGGCCAGAGUUCAG
rnacentral:lncRNA from 1 species